GACGAACCGUGCGAACGUUAUUCGGAAUCAUUGGGCUUAAAGGGCGCGUAGGCGGCGGUGUAAGUUGGAAGUGAAAUCCCAUCGGCUCAACCGUGGAAUCGCUCCCAGUACUGCAUCGCUCGAGGGGGGUAGGGGCGUGCGGAACUGUGGGUGGAGCGGUGAAAUGCGCAGAUAUCAGGAGGAACACCAAUGGCGAAGGCAGCACUCUGGGACGUGACUGACGCUGAGACGCGAAAGCGUGGGGAGCAAACAGG
rnacentral:rRNA from 1 species